CACGAAGCUGGAAUCGCUAGUAAUCGCGAAUCAGAAUGUCGCGGUGAAUACGUUCCCGGGUCUUGUACACACCGCCCGUCACACCAUGGGAGUCGGGAAUGCCCGAAGUCAGUGACCCAACCUUUGGAGGGAGCUGCCGAAGGCAGGUCUGAUAACUGGGGUGAAGUCGUAACAAGGUACC
rnacentral:rRNA from 1 species